CAAAAAGAGACACACAAAAAAAUCAUAACAAGGGGAGCAAUGGAGCACAAGCCGGGCCCAAUCUUUCUUCUUAUUCCAUAAGGGAACACCGGGUUUGUCCAUUGCUGAUCCCUGAGUCCCUUUUGCCUUCAUCACUCUCAAUAAUCUAGGGAUCUCUUUGGUGUGGCAAAUUCUAACCGCUAAGAAUCACGCAGAAUGGAGCAGAGCCGUGAUGAUCGCGCUAUCCGCCGAGAACAGGUUAGGGUUCAUCGAUGGCCAUAUUUUCAAGCUUGAAGGUAUGGGCUCAAACCUAACAGAUUAGAUUCUUGGGUUAGAAAUAACAACAUUUUGAUUUCUUGGAUGAUCGCCUCGAGCUUGCUGUUUUCGAACGCUGCUUGCGAAAUAUGUUCAGAUCUCAAUGAUUGAUUACAGCAAAACAAUUGCCGAUAAUACUCCAAAUAUUGGGCGAAUCGAUCGACAAUAGGCAGAUAAACACACGGUGAAAUGGUAUUUGCAAUCAAGAACGAGAACCCCACCCCCUCUUGAAAUUCUAAUUUCAGAAACAAUCGAUCCAAGAAGGGACGGGGCCGCCCUAUUGCACUCCUUGCAAACUUCAUGGAUACCUACCAGGUUACAAAUCAAGACAGAACCCUCAAUCCAAAAAUCCUAAUGCCAGUAUGCCACUAUCAACCUGGUUUUCGCCUGCGAAUACAAUGACGAGAAGGGCGAAACAAAACUUCUUUCAGUCUGAAGGAAUCUCAAUAUAAUCAAACUUUAGAAAUAUUGUCUAAGCAUCUGCACUCCAUCGCUAGAGGUACAACCAGUCUUUAUCGUUCGCAGAUUUUAGUGGAAAAGAGAAGAGCGAAGCAUUGCGGCGUAGCUAAGGGGGCCAUGGCGCUCCAAACCCAGGUGUUGCAGUGUUGUCAUACAGACACGAGACAGAGAUUUGAACGUUGUGGCGCUCCAACUUGGUGCCGCAACACAGACAGAGUAGUUGUCAUUCUCUUUUUUUCAUUAAGGGUUACGUCCCUUGGUGGUUGUUAUGAAUCUCUUGGUUUGUUCUUGUGCAAGAAUGGUGCUAGAGAAUAGAGAUAUGUACUAUUUAUCUCAAUUUUCAUAGUAGAUUUUUUGGUGUGGUGUGGCUCCAUGGUCUUUUCCUGGUUUCAAAUUUUAUCACAUUAAAUUUUGGUUUUCUUUUC